UCACUGCUGACAAGUCCUAAACAGGACGAAACAGCUGUCCAGUGC
rnacentral:hammerhead_ribozyme from 1 species